AAACUUCUAGUAAAAGACUGAGGAUGACCCUCUUUAAUCUAGAUUCACUAACUAUUUGAGUUCUAAAGGCGAUUUAUGGAAUUCCUUAAGUAAGGGUAAAAUUGUUGAUAUUGGAAGACCUUCGAAGGCGGAAGCGGUAAUCGAUUUAGAUCUGACGCUAGGUACUAAAGCAUGGGUAUGAAGAGGAUUAGAGACCUUGUAGUCCAUGCCUUAAACAAUGAGUGUUCAACGUCCUUUUUUGGUAGGCAGACAAAACAUAGCUUUCUCUGUAAAAAGAGAAGCAGUUACAAGUCAUACAAUGUUGCCUUUACUACAUUUAAGGGGGUUUGAAGCUAACGCGUGAAACACCGCCUGGGGAUUGUGGCCGCAAGGUUAAACUCAAAGGAAUUGACGGAGACUUUUACACGG
rnacentral:rRNA from 1 species